AGAGUUUGAUCCUGGCUCAGGAUGAACGCUAGCGGCAGGCUUAACACAUGCAAGUCGAGGGGCAGCAUAAUGGAUAGCAAUAUCUAUGGUGGCGACCGGCGCACGGGUGCGUAACGCGUAUGCAACCUACCUUUAACAGGGGGAUAACACUGAGAAAUUGGUACUAAUACCCCAUAAUAUCAUAGAAGGCAUCUUUUAUGGUUGAAAAUUCCGAUGGUUAGAGAUGGGCAUGCGUUGUAUUAGCUAGUUGGUGGGGUAACGGCUCACCAAGGCGACGAUACAUAGGGGGACUGAGAGGUUAACCCCCCACACUGGUACUGAGACACGGACCAGACUCCUACGGGAGGCAGCAGUGAGGAAUAUUGGUCAAUGGACGCAAGUCUGAACCAGCCAUGCCGCGUGCAGGAAGACGGCUCUAUGAGUUGUAAACUGCUUUUGUACUAGGGUAAACGCUCUUACGUGUAGGAGCCUGAAAGUAUAGUACGAAUAAGGAUCGGCUAACUCCGUGCCAGCAGCCGCGGUAAUACGGAGGAUCCAAGCGUUAUCCGGAUUUAUUGGGUUUAAAGGGUGCGUAGGCGGUUUGAUAAGUUAGAGGUGAAAUACCGGGGCUCAACUCCGGAACUGCCUCUAAUACUGUUGAACUAGAGAGUAGUUGCGGUAGGCGGAAUGUAUGGUGUAGCGGUGAAAUGCUUAGAGAUCAUACAGAACACCGAUUGCGAAGGCAGCUUACCAAACUAUAUCUGACGUUGAGGCACGAAAGCGUGGGGAGCAAACAGGAUUAGAUACCCUGGUAGUCCACGCAGUAAACGAUGAUAACUCGUUGUCGGCGAUACACAGUCGGUGACUAAGCGAAAGCGAUAAGUUAUCCACCUGGGGAGUACGUUCGCAAGAAUGAAACUCAAAGGAAUUGACGGGGGCCCGCACAAGCGGAGGAACAUGUG
rnacentral:rRNA from 1 species